ACGCUGGCGGCGUGCUUAACACAUGCAAGUCGAACGGAAAGGCCCUGCUUUUGUGGGGUGCUCGAGUGGCGAACGGGUGAGUAACACGUGAGUAACCUGCCCUUGACUUUGGGAUAACUUCAGGAAACUGGGGCUAAUACCGGAUAGGAGCUCCUGCCGCAUGGUGGGGGUUGGAAAGUUUCGGCGGUUGGGGAUGGACUCGCGGCUUAUCAGCUUGUUGGUGGGGUAGUGGCUUACCAAGGCUUUGACGGGUAGCCGGCCUGAGAGGGUGACCGGCCACAUUGGGACUGAGAUACGGCCCAGACUCCUACGGGAGGCAGCAGUGGGGAAUAUUGCACAAUGGGCGGAAGCCUGAUGCAGCAACGCCGCGUGCGGGAUGACGGCCUUCGGGUUGUAAACCGCUUUCGCCUGUGACGAAGCGUGAGUGACGGUAAUGGGUAAAGAAGCACCGGCUAACUACGUGCCAGCAGCCGCGGUGAUACGUAGGGUGCGAGCGUUGUCCGGAUUUAUUGGGCGUAAAGGGCUCGUAGGUGGUUGAUCGCGUCGGAAGUGUAAUCUUGGGGCUUAACCCUGAGCGUGCUUUCGAUACGGGUUGACUUGAGGAAGGUAGGGGAGAAUGGAAUUCCUGGUGGAGCGGUGGAAUGCGCAGAUAUCAGGAGGAACACCAGUGGCGAAGGCGGUUCUCUGGGCCUUUCCUGACGCUGAGGAGCGAAAGCGUGGGGAGCGAACAGGCUUAGAUACCCUGGUAGUCCACGCUGUAAACGGUGGGUACUAGGUGUGGGGUCCAUUCCACGGGUUCCGUGCCGUAGCUAACGCUUUAAGUACCCCGCCUGGGGAGUACGGCCGCAAGGCUAAAACUCAAAGGAAUUGACGGGGCCCCGCACAAGCGGCGGAGCAUGCGGAUUAAUUCGAUGCAACGCGUAGAACCUUACCUGGGUUUGACAUGGAUCGGGAGUGCUCAGAGAUGGGUGUGCCUCUUUUGGGGUCGGUUCACAGGUGGUGCAUGCCUGUCGUCAGCUCGUGUCGUGAGAUGUUGGGUUAAGUCCCGCAACGAGCGCAACCCUUGUUCACUGUUGCCAGCACGUUAUGGUGGGGACUCAGUGGAGACCGCCGGGGUCAACUCGGAGGAAGGUGGGGAUGACGUCAAGUCAUCAUGCCCCUUAUGUCCAGGGCUUCACGCAUGCUACAAUGGCUGGUACAGAGAGUGGCGAGCCUGUGAGGGUGAGCGAAUCUCGGAAAGCCGGUCUCAGUUCGGAUUGGGGUCUGCAACUCGACCUCAUGAAGUCGGAGUCGCUAGUAAUCGCAGAUCAGCAACGCUGCGGUGAAUACGUUCCCGGG
rnacentral:rRNA from 1 species